rnacentral:rRNA from 1 species
UACGUAGGUGGCAAGCGUUGUCCGGAAUCAUUGGGCGUAAAGGGCGCGUAGGCGGUUAAUUAAGUCAGAUGUGAAAACUCUGGGCUCAACCCGGAGAUUGCAUUUGAUACUGGUUAACUUGAGUGCAGGAGAGGACAGUGGAAUUCCUAGUGUAGCGGUGAAAUGCGUAGAUAUUAGGAGGAACACCAGUGGCGAAGGCGGCUGUCUGGACUGUAACUGACGCUGAGGCGCGAAAGCGUGGGGAGCAAACAGG